rnacentral:rRNA from 1 species
ACGCACGCUGGCGGCGUGCCUCAUCCAUGCCAUUAGAACGCUGAAGGAGGAGCUUGCUUCUCUGGAUGCGUUGCGAACGGGUGAGUAACGCGUAGGUAACCUGCCUGGUAGCGGGGGAUAACUAUUGGAAACGAUAGCUAAUACCGCAUAAUAGCAGUUGUUGCAUGACAACUGUUUGAAAGGUGCAAUUGCACCACUACCAGAUGGACCUGCGUUGUAUUAGCUAGUUGGUGGGGUAACGGCUCACCAAGGCGACGAUACAUAGCCGACCUGAGAGGGUGAUCGGCAACACUGGGACUGAGACACGGCCCAGACUCCUACGGGAGGCAGCAGUAGGGAAUCUUCGGCAAUGGACGGAAGUCUGACCGAGCAACGCCGCGUGAGUGAAGAAGGUUGUCGGAUCGUAAAGCUCUGUUGUAAGAGAAGAACGAGUGUGAGAGUGGAAAGUUCACACUGUGACGGUAUCUGACCAGAAAGGGACGGCUAACUACGUG